rnacentral:rRNA from 2 species
GACGAACGCUGGCGGUGUGCUUAACACAUGCAAGUCGAACGGUAAGGCCCUUUCGGGGGUACACGAGUGGCGAACGGGUGAGUAACACGUGAGUAACCUGCCCUCAUCUCUGGGAUAACAGUCGGAAACGGUUGCUAAUACUGGAUAUGAGCUUGCAAGGCAUCUUGUGGGUUGGAAAGAUAUUUUUUGGUUGGGGAUGGACUCGCGGCCUAUCAGCUUGUUGGUGAGGUAGUGGCUCACCAAGGCUUCGACGGGUAGCCGGCCUGAGAGGGCGACCGGCCACAUUGGGACUGAGAUACGGCCCAAACUCCUACGGGAGGCAGCAGUGGGGAAUAUUGCACAAUGGACGGAAGUCUGAUGCAGCAACGCCGCGUGCGGGAUGACGGCCUUCGGGUUGUAAACCGCUUCAAAUUGUGACGAAA